ACAGCAGAUUCUCUCUUCUCAAUCUCUCUCGCCUGGACUCCGCCGCCGAUCGGCGGCGGCCUCUCCUCUCCCGCGUCUCCCUCCCUCUCUCUCUCAUUCCCCCCCUUCUCUUUCUUCUCCCCUUCUCUCUUCUUCCCUCUCACCGCCGGCAUGCAGAGGCAGCUGCUUCGCCGCCCUCCUCCGGCAGUCCGGCCGUACCCAAACAACAGUAGAUCGGUGCUCCCUUCCUCCUCAUCUCUCUCUCUUCUCCCUUAUCUCCCCCUCUCUCCGUCCUCUCCAGGAUCUGCAGCCGCUCGCCAUGGCUGCGCUGGUCCAGAUUCGCUGCACCGCCACCACCGCUGCGGGUCCGCCGUCGCCGUGGGUUCGCACCCCGCCGCUGUCACCGAGAACCUCCCCCCGACACCGAUUCCCGUCAGAUCAAGGAAAAAAAAAACAGAUGUGGUUUUGGGAGCGUGGGCUGCCAUCGUCGGCGACGGAGUGCCGAGCUCGUUGCCGAAAGUUCUUCGGCAGAUUCCUAUAUCAUUUGAAGCUAAGUUCAUAAUAUCCUUUGAAAAUCUGUUGUUCUUAUGUUUUCGCGAAGAAUGGAUACUAUGUCCUGCUAAAGUGCCUAUAUGAAAUACCUAUCAAUGUUAAAUUGGUAUUAUGUAAUUAUGGGUACUAAGUUCAUAUGUUGGCAAGAGACAUGUUUUGCAAUAUGUUGUAAUAUGUGAAAAAAAAGUGUUGAUGGUACUUACUUGUGUGGUGUGAAGAAGAUAAUGAGUGGUUGAUUUUAGACUUUUCCUUUA